rnacentral:misc_RNA from 1 species
GGAAGUAAAAGUCGUAUCAAGGUUUCCGUAGGUGAACCUGCGGAAGGAUCAUUAAGGAGAAUAUGCCCUUCGGGGUAGAUCUCCCACCCUUUGUUUAUAUUACCUUUGUUGCUUUGGCAGGCCCGUCUUCGGACCACCGGCUUCGGCUGGUCAGUGCUUGCCAGAGGACCCAAAACUCUUAUUAUUAAUGUCGUCUGAGUACUAUAUAAUAGUUAAAACUUUCAACAACGGAUCUCUUGGUUCUG